UGGGGAAUAUUGCACAAUGGGGGAAACCCUGAUGCAGCGACGCCGCGUGAACGAAGAAGGUAUUCGUAUCGUAAAGUUCUGUCCUAUGGGAAGAUAAUGACAGUACCAUAGAAGAAAGCUCCGGCUAAAUACGUGCCAGCAGCCGCGGUAAUACGUAUGGAGCGAGCGUUGUCCGGAAUUAUUGGGCGUAAAGGGUACGCAGGCGGUUUAAUAAGUCGAAUGUUAAAGAUCGGGGCUCAACCCCGUAAAGCAUUGGAAACUGAUAAACUUGAGUAGUGGAGAGGAAAGUGGAAUUCCUAGUGUAGAGGUGAAAUACCUAGAUAUUAGGAGGAAUACCAGUAGCGAAGGCGACUUUCUGGACACAAACUGACGCUGAGGUACGAAAGCGUGGGGAGCAAACAGG
rnacentral:rRNA from 1 species